rnacentral:rRNA from 1 species
GAUGAACGCUAGCGGCAGGCCUAAUACAUGCAAGUCGGACGGGAUAGGAGAGCUUGCUUUCCUUGAGAGUGGCGCACGGGUGCGUAACACGUAUGUAACCUACCUUCGUCAGGGGGAUAGCCUCUCGAAAGAGAGAUUAAGACCGCAUAACAUUGAGAUGCAGCAUUGCAAUUCAAUCAAAUAUUUAUAGGACGAAGAUG